rnacentral:tRNA from 2 species
GCCCCCAUAGUUUAAUGGAUAGAACGAGGUCCUCCUAAGACUUAAAUAUCGGUUCGAUUCCGGUUGGGGGUG